UACGAUUUAUACCAUCAAGAUGCCCUUCACAAGUCACUCGUCAGUGUAUGGUGCAUGUCAAAAAUUCAAAUUUGCCGAAAGAAGAACUUUCAUAACGUCGGGUUCUUCGACCCCGAUAUUAUACACGAGAAAUCGCUAGCGCUAAAUCCUGGAGACAUAGUAAAUGUUAUAUACAGGGGGUUGCGUAAAAAUAGCAUGUGUCCCUUCAUUCUCUUGCCAUACAACCAUCACUUUCAUUGGAUAUUGCUUUGUAUUCGGAUUGAGGAGCACAAGGUCUUGGUGUACGAC